GACGAAGGGGGCUAGCGUUGUUCGGAAUUACUGGGCGUAAAGCGCGUGUAGGCGGCUUUGCAAGUCGGGUGUGAAAGCCCUCAGCUCAACUGAGGAAGUGCGCCCGAAACUGCAGAGCUUGAGUACCGGAGAGGAUGGUGGAAUUCCCCAAGUAGAGGUGAAAUUCGUAGAUAUGGGGAGGAACACCGGUGGCGAAGGCGACCAUCUGGACGGAUACUGACGCUGAGACGCGAAAGCGUGGGUAGCAAACAGG
rnacentral:rRNA from 1 species